CACGGGUGAGUAACACGUAUCCAACCUGCCGUCUACUCUUGGACAGCCUUCUGAAAGGAAGAUUAAUACAAGAUGGCAUCAUGAGUCCGCAUGUUCACAUGAUUAAAGGUAUUCCGGUAGACGAUGGGGAUGCGUUCCAUUAGAUAGUAGGCGGGGUAACGGCCCACCUAGUCUUCGAUGGAUAGGGGUUCUGAGAGGAAGGUCCCCUACAUUGGAACUGAGACACGGUCCAA
rnacentral:rRNA from 1 species